rnacentral:lncRNA from 1 species
GGAAGAUGCCAGAAAAAGGGAGCUUCAGGGAAGGAACUUGGAGCUAAUCAGCCUCGGGAAUGCCACCAUCUGAGAUGCCAGGGCAAAAACAAAGAAAUGCCAUCGAUUAAGAGUCUCCAUCAAGAAAGUUCCAAGGCUGCGAGGCUGCUGAGAUGAGAUGGGACUGGAAUCCUAGCCACAGGCUUAAUUGCUUUGCAAGAAGCCACAGCUGUUGCUGCAGGGAAGCGCAGGCAAAAUCUUGUUUUCUUACUUUCAACUUUCUGCUGACCUUGUUAGAGAUUGCUUCUGAACUGCCUGAUGCCCAUGCCUAUCUCGAAUGGUAUUUCUUCAGUGUCUCGUGUCUUCUCUUUGCUUUUCCUUCUAUGCCCAGCACUUAAUGUAGUGCCCGAAAUGUAAUACUCACUUGAGAAAUACCUGUUUGAUUAAUUAAGCACAAGAAGAAGAGUUUUAAUACCAAAUGACAGUUCCCUGUCACCCAAGAGCAGUACCCCUUUACUUUUUGAACCAAGAUUCCUCUUAGUCCUUUCACUAGAAUAUAGGAACAUGAAGAAAGGAGAAAUAGCAUAAAAAACAUUGGAAUUUUCUUCAGUCUAUGACUGUGUCUGCAUCAAAAUUUUCCACCCAUAUUCCAUGACCAAAUCAACUGUUUUUGAGACUUCUUUCUUUUCCUCUUGUAAAUGACAAGCAAUCCUUGAAUAACAAAUGACUUAUCCCACAUUUGUAAACUCUCUGGCCUUUGAAAUAGCUAAAAUGACCUAAGGCCUAACAGAAGAGUGGCAUGUAUGGACUUUACCAGAAGUUGGACCCAUGGGGUAAGAUCUAGAGAGUUAUUGGCUUAAGUGGUGUUAAGCAGCCUAUGAUUGGAAAAUGAAAUGAAAUAGAAUCCCCUCAUAGAAUCAAGAAUAGACAGGCCUCAUCCUAAAAUAAACAGGCCAAAGAAGCAUGGGUGGCAAUGGCCUAAUCCUCAAACCUGUUCUUCCCCCUUUAUUUCACUUAGGUUUCCAAACAUUUGUUUCUGCCUUCUAUCUGUAGCCUUAGAUCCAAACAUGUUUUAAGACUCUCUACUCUUAACAUUAAGCAAUCUGCUGAACUCCUUGUAAAACUCAG